CAACUCACGACUGUCUUCGUAGCUUCAAUUCAACGCACUACAAAAUGCCGAUUACGCAGGAACAACUGAAGCGCCGCGCCGAGAUGGUGCGCACCGGUGGCAAGGGCUCCAUGCGCCGCACCACCAAGGCCCACCACAAGAGCACUGGCGAUGACAAGAAGGUUCAGGUCACCCUCCGCCGCCUGGGCGUCACCCCCUUCAGCGAUAUCGACGAGGCCGUGUUCUACCGCCAGGACGGCAGCGCCUACUACUUCUCCAAGCCGAAGGUGCAGGCCUCCAUGCAGACGCAGUGCUUCGUGGUGUCGGGUGACUACGAUGUAAAGUCCGCCGAUGAGGUGGAUGCCAAGAAGGACUAAGUUGCCAAGGCUUCUCUACGCCGCUCAGCUUCUCAGACACUGCUGUGAGCCCUCUCUUCUCUCCCCUCCACAAGCCGCCGCUGACCUCUCCCGCUGCCGCACCCUUGCUUCCUUCAAGAGGCGAAGGACAGUCGAGAGGGUUGGUGGGUGGAGAAGAUGAGCCGCCACACAGCUGGUGGGAAAGGGUGAGCAAAGAUAAAGACGGGAGGAGGCAGACAGACCGCGCGUCUGUUCUUCUCGCUACACCUGUUGUUUCGACCCUCCCCGCCUCACUCUCUGCCCCUCUUCUCUUCACGUUGUGACGUGCGAACCUUUUCUUUCGUUCUUUUCUCGUCGCUCAUUUACCUCAACACAAAUG
rnacentral:misc_RNA from 1 species